rnacentral:lncRNA from 1 species
AAACACAACAUAAAUGCAUAAGAACUAGCUAACUAAGGUGCAUAAAUAUGCUCCUAUCAAAUUCCCCCACACUUUUUGCUAGUCCUCGAGCAAAACAACGAAACAAAACAUGACCUAAACCUUCCAACAAUCGCCUCAGGGAUUUCCAAUGGUACAUGACACGCCAAAGAUCACUACUCACAUAGAUUUUAGCCAUCUUUACACUUAAGCACAUACUGAAUCAUAGUCAUCACUUACUAGCUCACAGUUAAUCAAUUAAAACAAUGUUUGAAUGUAGUAACAUGCCUUAGAGAAUCCCUCAAUUCCUCACUAGAUAUACACUCAUUUUUCACUUUAGAUUUUCUGACUACACACUCUACACUAGUUAUAUGUGAGAAGAUUGAUGUAAAUAUGAAAACUAAUGCUCACAUAUGUUAUGACAAUAAAAGCAAUUUCUGGAAUUAUGAAUGUAUGUAUAUGAUCUCAUGAAUGGAAUGCUACUACUUAGAUGCGAGAACCAGGGAUAUCAUAUGCUCAUACCAAUUCCAAACUCCACAUAUUGAAACACAUAACAAUCAAGAUAGAAGCAAAGGGUUGUAACGGGGCUAAGGUAUUGGCUAACAAAGGAAGGUAAGGAUAAACAAACAUUCUUAAAGAAUAAUAAGCAAAGUAAUGAAAUUUACACUUAGAAUUCACUUUUGCAUGCAAAAAUCAAUGUUUAAACCCAAGGGGAAUACUCAUGCAAUACUUAGGGUCUAAUUCAACUUUUUGGACCCUUGCUUCAACAACCAAUAACUUAGAGCUCAUUUUAUGCUCUUUCAACUCCUUUUCAUACUUUUCUCACUUUUCUCUUUUUUUCUUUCUUUUUCUACGAAUUUUCUUUCUUUUUUUUUUCUUUUUCUUUUGCUAACCCGUGCCCUCCUUACUUCUUUUGGCACACAACUUUCCUUUCCCCCACACUUAGUUUUCUGCACAACAUUGAUCAAAAAGAAUUCCCUCUAAGUUAUGCUUUAUUAUCCCUUAAGAACAAGGGUAUGGAUAGUCCUAAUCUAGGCUAGGUAAGGAUAAUGUGGCUAACAACAAAAAUAGGCUAAACAAGGCUCAAAGGGGUUAAUCCUAUAAAACAAUAUGCAUGGGUUGACGGCUUUUUGGCUCUGGUGAUAACUACUAAACAACUUCAUCUUGUUAGUUAUGCUAAUCAAUUUUUAUGCUUUGAAUGAAAUAGGUAUGAGUUCUAAUAUUUGGAUCUAUAAUGAUGACACGCCUUCUAAGUAGCAACCAAGCAAAGAAUGAUGAGAUCAUGCAACGACUUUAGAAAACAACAAAUUCACAGAUUAUUAACUCUCCAAAUAAACGUUUAGGCUCAAGUCUCACAGGGUUGUAGCAUUAGUUUGAGUUCCUUCCUUCAAGCAUGUUACAAAAACUGAUUUUUUUCCUUUUUGAUUACAUGUGAAUUCAUAAGUUAUAACCACAACCAAGCAUAAACCAAAGAGUAAAUCAAACGUCCAUCCAUGUUUAUAACUCUCUUUAACAGUCAUGCAAUUAAAAACCGAAUCCUCAUCAUUGUGUUGGAAGGUACUCUACGACACAAACAAACAAAAACAACUUUAAAACGACUCUUUUUUUUUUUGGGUUUUGUGCAAAACUUUUUCUAUUUUUUUCUUGAAUUUUCGGAUUUUCUGGUAAAACCACAUCAAAACACAUCAAAACUUUCUAAAAAACACUUAAAAACAACCUUUGAAAUGUUAGGUGGUAAAACCCUACGAAUUUUGACAUAAAAACACUUUGUUUACCCCCCCACACUUAAACCAAACAUUGUCCUCAAUGUUUCAAACAUAGACUCACACAAAAGCACGCAAAUAACACAACUAGCAAACAUGACAAAUAUGGCAAAGUAAACGCAAUAAAGAGUAGGGUUUAGAAACGCAAAUCUGGUUGUGAUGCCGGAGCUUCUGAUAGGAGCAUAUUUAUGCGCCUUAGUUAGCUAGUUCUUAUGCAUUUUCGCUAUGUUUUCUUCGUUAGAGUAGUCUUUUGAGCUACUUUCAUGUGUUUUCAGGUUCAAAGGGGCAUAAUACAUAAAAGAUGGCAAAAUGGAGCAUGUUAGAGCAAAAGUGAGCUUGGAUUGAAAAGUACAUGCUUGGAGCACAAGGAAUGGACGAGUUUGAAGGUCAAGGGAGCUUAAGAAAUGAAGAAAUGAAAGUGAAGAACAAAGAAUUCAGAAUUAGAAACCAAAGUUUCUAAAGUUGGAAGUUUCUAUUCUCGGAGGUUUCCAUUUGUGAGAGUUUCUAUUCUUGGCUUUGGGCUUCUAGAUGACCCAUCCUUACCUCUUGGACAAGGCCGCACCUUCCUAGCCCAAUUCAUCUUGGAUCCUCACUUAAUGCCGCACCUAAACCCUAGCCCAUUGCAUAUUUCUGACUUCUAAGCCUUUGCCGCACCUAGGCCCCAAAAUAUCUGAUUUCCUUGCCUUGCAAGGCUUUCUAGAAGGCCUAUCCACACUCCCACCAAAUCUGCCGCACCCUAGCCCUUUUCCCAUGCAAUUCCUAUUGUGUUAACCUAAUUUCUGGUGGAUUUGGGUUUCUAGAAACCCUAAUCUGAUUGCUAGGGUUUUUAAGUGCCUAUAUAUAUUCAUUCUAACCCUUUUGGCCGAACUACCACUCCCCAUCUAAUUCAUUCACGCCAAAAACCCUAGUUACAUCCUUGCCGCAGCCUUUCACCCUAAAACUUCCAUAUUUCUGAUUUCUACACCAUUGCCGUGCCUCCCUAAUCCUUUUAACCCCUUCUACCCUCUUCCAUAACCAUCCAUCCACCACCUUGCGCAGCCACCAAAGGAGGAGAAAGAAGGAGUGUCGUGCAGUCCAAAGGAGGAAGACACCUUGCACAUGCAAUCUGCCAUUAGUGGAGUGUUUGGAGUUCUUUCUUUCUUUGUUUCUGUUUUCAUGUUUAAUUUAAAUUGUUGUUCAAUUAUGUUAGACAUGUGGAACUAAUUUCUUUAUAGUUAGAGGUGAAUUUGAAGCCAUGGACAUAUGUUUUAUAUGAUUUGAUUUCUUCCAAUUAUGAUUUCAGAAAUUGUGAAUGUGAUUUACUGAUGUGAAAAUUAAGUUGACACACAAAUUAAACCCUCUUUUUGUCAAAUUGUAGCAAAGAUGUAAGUAGGGAUCGUUCUAGACCGGGGAUUAGGAGGGAUUGCUAAACGCUUGGAAACUGACUUAAACACUCAAAAACAAAGUUAAAAACACUAAACUAGACUCAAAGAAUGCAAAACUAAAAGUUAAAACACUUAAACAAACCUAAAAACCAAAACAGCAACUAGAAGGCUCAAAACUGCCUAAAAACCACUUUCUGGGCAGUUUUGAGCACCUACACUAAUUUGGACGAAAUUUGAUGAAAACUUGAAUCAAAAUACUUAGAAACACAAAUCAAAACACUUUCUAACUAAUCUAAGACUUCAAAUUAAAGGGGGAUUUUGUUUUGACGAAAAUUAAACUAAAGAAAACAGAUUGGAAAUAGGGCAGAUUGUAAAAACGAUUUUGGUGAAAUAGAUGGUUAAAAGGCUAGUUAGGAGGUUCUUCUCCACACAUGUCACACUUGCAAACAAAACGAUUUUUCAGUUGUUCUUCCGAUAAACUACGAAUACUCAACGCCCCAAGUUAACCGUGAAUUGCACUAAUUAACCCUCAGUUUUUCCACAAGUUAUUAAGUUGGAUGAUUGCAUACGACAACCAAAACAUUCCUACAAGUUCCCUACAUGAAUUGCAUAAUAGAGAUACAAGCAAGAAUCAUUACGUUCUUAUGAAAAACAUAAGCAUUGACGAAGCAUUUGUUACUAUGAAUUGCAUGAAACUUAUGCUAAGAAUUCAUUCAACGCGAUCGUUUUCAAGCGAUCUUCACUACUUGUGAUUAUAAGAUUGUAACUAUUAGGUGAAACUCCCUCAUAAUCUAGCAUCAUAUUCAUGCAUGAAAACUAAGCGUGCACUCUCAAUCAACAUACACAAAUAAGUUAUCAAUCAAAUAGAUGAACGAAUUGAAUCCAUAACUUAUGAAAUAACAACUGAAUGUAAUCGAAUCAAAUUGCAAGCAUGUACAUGGUUUCGAAUCACCCCCCAACUAAGGGGGUUUAGUUCCUCAUACUCACAACACAAAGUUUAUUGAAUUGAAACAUCGAAGACAUAAGAAAGAUUACACCUAAAAUGCCAAAGAAUUCCACUUUGAAUUCUGCACAGCAAGCUCCUCUUUCUUCUUCUCCUUGCUGCGGCAGAGAGGGUUUAGGGGAUUUUUGGGUAGUUUUGGAUGAUUUUGGACGAGGGAGAAUGGUGGAAAAAUGUCUAGGAUGGGUGUAGGGCACGGCUAGGAAGGUUUGGGGUCAGAAAAUAUGGAGUUGGGUGAAGGUUGGGCUCGGCAAAGGUGAGGGACAGGUUCUGGCGUGAAUGGAGUUUUUCUGGAUGUGUUUUUGGGUUUUGAAAGGUAGAUAGGAUAGUAUGGUGGGUGCGGCAAGGUGUGGGAAUGGUUUAUGGAGGUGGAGAAUGGUGUAUGGAUGUGUGGAAAUGGUGCUGGAAUGGAUGGAAGCUGCGGCAAAAGGUGGGAAAGGUUGCUGGAAUGGGUGGUGGCUGCGGCAAGGAGAGGAUUAGGGUGAUGGUGAUUUUCUGAUUUGUGUAGAGGGAAUGAUGAUGUGCGGCUAGGGUUUAGAAAUAUAUAUAUAUAGGCAUUUAAAAAACCCUAGCAAAUCAGAUUAGGGCCUCUAAAACACAAUCCAUCAGAAAUUAGGUUGAAACAAUUAGACAUUUAGUGGGAAAAAGGGCCUAGGGUGCGGCUGGUAUGUGGGCUAAGGUUAGGGUUUCUAGAAACCCUAACAAGGCAAGGCAAAGUGAUUCUAGAGGGCCCAGGUGCGGCAUAGGAUGAAGGUCCAUAAGGAAUUUGGGUUUAGGUCAUCUAAAAGCCCAAAGCCAAGAAUAGAAACUCACGAAAAUGGAAACCUCCAAGAAUAGAAACUUCCAACUUUUAGAAACUUUGGUUGCCAAAUUCCGGUUUAGGAAAGAUCAACCCAAAAUGGAAACUUUUAGGCUUAGCUUUCCUACAUCAAGUAGGAAACCUCAAAUCUUCAACUCUUCAAUUCCAUCCCAACCUUGUGUUCCAAGCAUGUACUUUUCAAUCCAAGCUCACUUUCUUGCUCCAAAAGCUCCAACUUGCAUCAUUUCAUGUAAUACGUCCUUUAACCUGAAAACACAUGAAAGUAGCUUAAAAGACUACUUUAACGAAGAAAACAUAACAAAAAUGCAUAAGAACUAGUUAACUAAGGCGCAUAAAUAUGCUCCUAUCAUUUACUUAUCUAUUUGAUUGAUAACUUGUUUAUGUAUGUGGGUUGAGGGUCGACACUUAAUUUGCAUGCCUAAACUUGAUGCUAGGAUAUAAGGGAAUUUCACCUAAUCGUUAUUAACUUGUAUUCAUAAGUAGUGAAAGUCGCCAGUCACGAUUGUGUUAAGUAAAUCCUAGGCAAGAGUAACAUGCGUAUCCCAUAGUUAUGAAUGCCUCGUCAAUGCUUAUGAUUUCCAUUAAACUUAAUGAUCUUUGAUACGUGUCUCUAUCAUGCGUAUUCCAUAGUUAGGGUCCUUGAUAAGAAUAAUUUGGUUGUAAUGCGUAUUCCAUUCAAUUCAAUGAAUCUAGGGAAAUCUGAGAAUUAAUUGGGUGCAAUCUAGUUAAUUUGGGGCAUUGUCAUUCAUGGUUUGUUGAAAGAGUAAUUGGAGAUCGAGUUGUAUGCAUAUGUUCAUGUGUGGAUAAGGAACCCUCUAACUAGCUUCUCACCAUUCUACUUAAUCACAAUCUGUUUUGCUUUACAUUUGUUUUUAAAGUUUGAGUUUUAAAGUUUUAAUUUCGUCAAAGUCAUUCCCCCAUUUAUUUUAAAGUGUUAGAUUAGUUAGAAAUCCAUUUAGUUGUGUUUUUAAGUGUUUUGAGUCAAGUCAUAGUCCAAAUUCGUCCAAACUAGUGUUAGGUACUCAAAACUGCCCAGAAAGUGGUUUUAAGGCAGUUUUGAGCCUUUUAGUUGCUGUUUUGGGUUUUUAGUUUGUUUAGGUGUUUUAAACCCUAGUUUUGCAUUAAUUGAGUCUAGUUUAGUGUUCUACAUUAUAUUUUUAUGUUCUUGAGUCAGUUUUACAUUGAUUAGCAUCCCUAGUUAAUCCCCGGUUAGAACGAUCCCUAUUUGCUCAUAUACUACAAUUGUCAUCCAUAGGGUUUAAUUUGUGUGUCAAGUUAAUUUUCACAUCAGCUUCCUAGGUCUUCUUUAUUCGCAUGGGUUGCCUCCCACGAAGCGCUUGCUUUAACGUCUUCCAGCCGGACGAUACUUCCAUUCAAACUCCCCUAGGUCCCACGGCAUGGAAUUGAUCUUUAAAUGGGAGAUGAUACUUGAAAUGAUCCGGCACAGGUUUAAAUUCAAGAGUGGGUGCCUGAAUCAUUAACAACAUAUUAGUAUAAACCAAAAUUGAAAUUCGGGGAAGUGGCUUACCUGUGUGCUCCGACAUGAACUCAAUGACAAAUACCACUUCUUUGAAAGUUUUAGGGACUUUGAAUUUGGCUAGAUUUACUACCAUGGUUGUGAUUUGUCCCGUGUCAUCAAAUUCAACGUCUUUAGGCGUCGUUGUCUCAAAUACGUCCUCUUUGAUGAAUUCUUGAUAUUCUCGAGCCCCUACUUUCUCUUGAAUCAUUCUUCUUGGUGUACAAAGUCCCUUGAACAAUUCAACACAUCUAGAACUUGCUUUGUUGCACCAAGAAUUGGAAAAUCAUUUUGCACCUUUGGAAGAGCUUCCAUAAUUUCUUUUUCCCUCUCUUCUUGCUUGGGAAUCAAAAACCUGCGAGGAAAAGGGACAUUGGGUGGAAUGGGGUUAGAAUUAAUUGAAUUUGGAACCACCUUACCUGAGUUGGAUGGCAUAGGGACUCUAGGAGGCUGCGGCCAUGGUUGUUCUACCCUUGCCGUGGGUGUGUCUUCUUCCUCCUCCUCAAUUAGCAGCUGUUCGUCCUCCUCUUGGCUUGAUUUGCACGUUUUUGGACUUGUUCCAACCUCCAUGCUACUUUCCAAAAUGAUAGCAUCAUGGAUUUCAAAAUCUUCCUUCAAAUUUUCAAUAGUUGAGUUGGAGGGUUCACUUUGCUCUUGAAUUUGUGCCAUGAACUCCAUAAUCUCUCCAAUUUGAUUCUUCAAUUUACCCAACUUCUUGUCUUGAUUUUGUUGGUCCUGCGCCAAAGAGGUUAGUAAUUGAAGAAUUUGAUCACUAUCCAUGGACAUACUUGAAUUUGAUUGGAAUUGUUGUGGAGAAUGUUGUGGUGGCUGCAUAGGUCUUGAAUAGAACUCCUCAUAUGGAUGCCAAUAUGCUUCGUGUUGAACUUGUUGAGCUUCCCACCACAUAGAGUUUGAAUGAUCACUCCAAUUCGAAUUGUAAGUGUUGGGAAACAUGUUGUUGCUCGGUUGAUCAUAGCCUUGAUAACCCCAAGCAUCUCCGUUUGCAGUGAAUUGAGGACGUUGAUGAGUUGGAUAUCCGUGCCCAUAGGACACACCACAUGUAGGGACACUUUUCAUUGUGGUCCUUUCGAUAUAUUGCGUUAACUGAGAAGUAAGAUUCGUUAUUUGAACUUGAAGAUUAGCAAUUGCCAUGUCUUACUUCUCUAGUACCUAAAAUCAAAGAAAGAAAACUAAAUCAAAUAUCAAAAGUAAAAGACACGAACAAAAACAAAGGGGGAUUAGCAAUUUUGCUAAUCCCCGGCAACGGCGCCAAAAUUUGAUGUGAAAAUUAUGUUGACACUCAAAUUAACCCUCUUUUUAUCAAUUGUAGCAAAGUAUGUAAGUAGGGAUCGUUCUAAACCGGGGAUUAGGAGGGAUUGCAAAAUCACUUGAAAACUGACUCGAAUACGUAAAAACAAGUUUAAAACACUAAACUAGACUCAAAGAAUGCAAAACUAAACUUUAAAACACCAAAACAAACCAAAAGACUCAAAACAGCAAACAAACACUCAAAACUGCCUUAAAACACUUUCUAGGCAGUUUCUGACACUCAGGAAGAAUUUGGACGAAAAUUGAUUAUAACUUGACUCAAGACACUUAAAAACACAAACUAAAUUGAUUUCUAACUAGUAUGACUCAACAAAGAAAAGGGGGAUUGAUUUUGGACGAAUUUAAAAACAAAACAAAACUUUGUAAACUAAAACAGAUUUUAAAACGAAUUUGGAUGAUUUGAAUGGAUGGAAGGCUAGCUAAGGGGUUCAUCUCCACACAUGUCACACUUGCAUAUAAAACGAUCUCUAAUUGCUUUUCAAUAAACCAUGAAUUCCCAACGCCCCAAGUUAAUUAGGUCCGCUUAAAUUAACCUUCAGAUUUUCUUAAUGUUAUUGAAUUGGAUGAUUGCAUACGACAACCCAAAGCAUUCCCCACAAGUCCCCUACAUGAUUGCAUAAUAGAGAUACAAGCAAGAAUCAUUAAGUUCUAUGAAAACCAUAAGCAUUGACGAAGCACUUGUUACUAUGAUUGCAUGAAACUUAUGCCAAGAAUUUACUUAACACGAUUGUGAUCAACAACCUUUACUACUUGUGAAUAUAAGUUCAUAACGAUUAGGUGAAAUUCCCUUAUAUCCUAGCAUCAAAUUCAUGCAUGCAAACUAAGUGUCGACCCUCAAUCAACAUACAAGAAUAAGUUUUAAUCAAGGAAGAAAAAAUCGAUAAUAUCGGCGAAAUAUCGCCGAUAUUAUCGUUUUUUUGGAGUUCCGAAAUUUUUUUAACUAUCCAACCUAUUUUCGUUAAAAUAUCGCGAUAUUAUCGAUAAUAUCGAAAAUAUCGCGAUAUUUUCAAAACUAUCGAUAAUAUCGCAAUAUUUUAUUAAAAAAAUACUUAAAUAUGUUAAGUAAACUCAACACAUACUUCACUUGAUCAUGGCCCAAAGACCAAACAAGCUUUGGAUAUCUCAACAGGGGAGUGUGGCUUUUAUAGGAAAAAUGGCUUGCUCACUUCCUUGCAUGGGCGAUGUGGGACUCGCCCAAUGGAAGAAAAAAUCAAAAUUUCGGCCGAAAUUUUACACCCACUUUAAACGGUCAUAACUUUGUCAAAACUCAACGAAAUCAAGCAAGACAAAAACGAAAGUUGUAGCCCUUGAAGAGACGAAGAGAAUGGUACCUCACACGACAUCUGAAUCGUCGUGUUUUGGCCGGAAAAUUCCUCGAAAGUCACUGAGGUCGCCGGAAACUGGGUAAGAUUCAAAUGAGUAUAACUUUUUCAAUACUCAACGAAAUUGAGUGAAACAAAAAGGAAAGUUGUACUACUCGACGAGACGAAGAGAUUGAUACCUUGCACACCGGCCAACUCGCAGUGUUUUGGACGGAAAUUGCCUCGAAAGCUACUGAGGUCGCCGAAAACUGGGUAAGAUUCAAAUGAGUAUAACUUUUUCAAUACGCAACGAAAUUGAGUGAAAAACAAAAGGAAAGUUGUAGCCCUCGAAGAGACGAAGAGAAUGGUACCUCACACGACAUCUGACUCAUUGUGGUUUGGCCGUAAAUUGCCUCGAAAGCUACUGAGGUCGCCGGAAACUGGGUAAGAUUCAAAUGAGUAUAACUUUUUCAAUACGCAACGAAAUUGAGUGAAACAAAAAGGAAAGUUGUAGCCCUCGAAGAGAUGAAGAGAUUUGAUACCUUGCACGCCGCCCAAAAUUCAAUUGACACACUCCUGGCUUCCAAAAUUCAAUACUUUUACUUUAUAUCAACUUGAAAAAACAUAAUCGGCAUCCAAAUUAAAGUUUAGUCUUAUUUCAAUGUAUUGGAUUUUCAAUUGUUAAUUGAUAUACUAUAAUUUGGAACUUCAACGCCUAGACGCAUGCUUAUGUGUAAGAAAUUUAAAUUGUCAAAAUUCGGCACAUUAUUCUUCAUCAUUUUAUUCACUCCCUUUUUUUUUUUAAUAUCCUAAAUAAAACCUCCAAAUAUUGUACUAAUUAAUUAUAUAUAAAUGAUUAUGGUGUGUUUAAAACUUCUUUCAUUAAUUACUACAUAUUUUCUACACUCACAAUGUUUGCCAGCUCGCUAUAUAAUCAACUUAAAUCAGUUAAAUCCAUCAUGCAAUGCAUUUCCUUCCAAUUUUUUGUGAUAAACUAAUAGAUAAUUGACUAAAUAAACAUCCUACAAAGUUUCAUUAAAAAUUUCCAAGUUUUUCUUACAAUUUCCGUGGUUUCCAUGUAAUUUUUAUCGAUAUCGAUAUUAUCCCGAUAUUUCCAUCGAUAUUUCCGUGUUUUCGGACUACCGAUAUUUCCGAUAUUACCGAUAUUUUCUUCCUUGGUUUUAAUUCACAUAGAUAAGCAAAUUGAAAUCACAACUUAUGAAACGCAAUUAGAAGUAAUCAAAUCAUAUAGCAAGCAUAAUCAUGGUUUCGAAUCCCCCCCUAGCCAAGGGGGUUUAGUUCCUCAUACUUGCAAAUAAACAAAGAUAAAUAAAUUUAAACAUUAAAACAAAGAUAGAAAACACCUAGAAACGCUCCACAAUCCAAGCUCCUUGAAUGGCAUGCACGGCUCCAAGAGUUCUUCCUUCUUCUCCUUUGCAAACUCACGGCACAAGAGGUAUAUUUGGGUGAAUGGUGUAGUGAAAAUAUGGUAGAGGAUGGUGACUAAAUGGUGCAGCAAAGGAUGAUAUUUAUAGGCUGAAAUUCGCAGCCCCUAUGUAGCAAAGGAAAAGGAUUUAAAAGCCUAAUUUGUAUAGGAUAAUAACACACAAUCCUUGAAGGAAAAGGCUAAGGGUUUUAGAAACCAAGGGGGAAAGGAAUAAUCAGGUUUCUAGAAGUUCUAGAAAGGUUUGGGGCGUCACUUUUGUAGGACAAGCGAUAAGGCCUUCUAGAAAGGUUGUUUUGUGGCUGAUUUCUAGAAAAAACAAGGGAUAAGGUGUGGCACCUUUGUAGGAGUGGAUAAGGGCUUCUAGAAACCAAUUUUAAUGUGUCCUAAUCUGAAAAUAAAUCCCCCAUGCAGCUGGAAUUAAAUUAGGAUAAGAUUAGGAUAGGAUAAGAUAAGAUAGGAUAGGAUAGGAUAGGUUUUGGAUAAUGUUUUGGAUAAGGUUUCUUCACUUGAGCUGAUUCUUUGGCUUCAACUUCCCUUCUUCAAGUAGGAAACCUUGUUUGAGUAGGAAAACUUCAAUCUUCUAGGAAUCCAACUUCAACUAGGAAUCCAUCUUCAACUAGGAUUUCAUCUUCAAUUAAGCACUUUCCCACUUCAAUUAGGAAUCUUUGUAUCUUCAAUUCUUCAACUUCAAAACACAUUCCUAGCUUCAUCAAUCCUUCAAAUUCGUCCAUCCCUUGUGCUUCAUGUGCAUGAACUCCAUUCUAGCCCAAUUUUGCUCCAAAAUGCUCCAAAUUGCAUCCUUUUGCUCACUUUGUCUCUAAAACCUGAAAACACAUGAAAAAAUAGCUUAAAAGACUACUUUAACUAAGAAAACACAACAUAAAUGCAUAAGAACUAGCUAACUAAGGUGCAUAAAUAUGCUCCUAUCACGCUCUCCUAUCCACCAUUCUCGAUGAGUUGAGGACACUUUUCGGAAGCAUGUCCUUGGAUAGAACAUACACCACACACCAUGGGUCCUUGAAUCUUCAUUCCCUCGGCCAUCUGUGAAACAAUAGAAGUAAGAUUAGCUAACUGAGAUUGAAUAUUGGAUGUGGAACUUACCUCAUGAACUUGUUGCCGUGGGGGUCCUCUUUGGCCUACGCCCUCGUAUUGUUGAGCGUUCAACGCUCGAUUAGCAAUCAAGAUUUUUGCAGCCAUGGGCGUUUUCUCCACCAAUGCUCCACCCGCCGAAGCAUCGAGCAUAUGACGUUCUAGUGGUAGGAGCCCUUCGUAGAAGUAUUGCAAAAGCAACUCCUCAUUCAUCUGAUGUUGUGGACAAGAAGCAACAAGUGAUUUAAAUCGUUCAUAAUAUGUAGGAAAAGACUCACCUUCAUCUUGUUGAAUUCCACUUAUUUUUUUGCGAAGAAGAAUGAUGCGAGAAGUCGGGAAAAACUUCUCCAGAAACGCCCUCUUCAUACUCUCCCAAGACGUAACUGUUCCGGGAGCCAACUCGUAUAACCAAUCCUUGGCCUUGUCCAUUAAAGAGAAUGGAAAAGCCUUCAUCAUUAAAAUACUUCCAUCAACGUUAACCGGAGUCAUACUUGAGCACACCACUUCAAAUUCUUUCAAAUGUUUGUUUGGAUCCUGAUAGGAGCAUAUUUAUGCGCCUUAGUUAGCCAGUUCUUAUGCAUUUAUGUUGUGUUUUCUUAGUUAAGUUAGUCUUUUAAGCUAUUUUCAUGUGUUUUCAGGUUUUAAGGACAAAGUAAGCAAAAAGAUGCAAUUUGGAGCAUUUUGGAGCAAAAAUUAGCUAGAAUGGAGCUCAUGCAUGUGGAGCACAAAGAAUGGACGAAUUUGAAGGAUUGAAGAGCUAGGAAUGUGUUUCAAAGUUGAAGACUUGAAGAUGCAAAGUUUCCUAAUUGAAGUGGGAAAGUGCUUAAUUGAAGAUGGAUUCCUAGUUGAAGAUGGAUUCCUAGUUGAAGAAUGAUUCCUAGUUGAAGUUGGAUUCCUAGAAGAUUGAAGUUUCCUACUCAAACAAGGUUUCCUACUUGAAGAAGGGAAGUUAAAGCCAAAGAAUCAGCUCAAGUGAAGACACCUUAUCCAAAACAUUAUCCAAACCCUAUCCUAUCCAAUCUUAUCCUAUCUUAUCCUAAUCCUAAUCCACCUAUAUUUCAGCUACUUGGGAGGAUUCCUAGCUAUAUUAGGAUGCUUAAAAUCAGAUUUCUAGAAAACCUAAUCCUUUCCUACAAAAAUGGCGCAUAGGACCUUUCUAGAAGACCUUUGCCUUGCAUUGCAAGUCAGCCACUUUCCCUCCACUUUUAUGCCGUGAGUUUUUACCCAAAUCCCUUGGGAUUUUGGUUUCUAGAAGCCCUUAUCCCUUCCUAGAUAAGUGCCGCACCUUAUCCUCCCAUUCCCUUUGGGUUUCUGAUUUGUUUUCCUUCAAGGAUUGUGUUUUAUUUUCCUAUGCAACUUAGGCCUUUAAAUCCUUUUCCUUUGCUACCUAGGGGCUGUGAUUUUCAGCCUAUAAAUACAACCCUUUGCCGCACCAAUUGAACACCACCCUCUACCAUAUUUUCACUACAUCAUUCACCCAAUCAUCCCUCUUGUGCCGUGAGCUUGCAAAGGAGAAGGAAGGAGACUCUUGGAGCCGUGCAUGCCAUUCAAGGAGCUUGGAUUGUUGGAGCGUUUCUAGGUGUUUUCUAUCUUUAUGUCAAUGUUUAGAUUUAUUUAUCUUUGUUUAUUUGCGAACAUGAGGAACUAAUUUCUUUAUAGUUAGAGGGGAAUUCAAAGCCAUGAUCAUAUGUUUUAUAUGACUUGAUUUCCUCCAGUUAUGAUUUCAUGAAUCGUGAAUGUGGUUUACUUAUCUAUUUGAUUGAUAACAUGUUUAUGUAUGUUGAUUGAAGGAUGCAUACUUAGUUCGCAUGCAUGAAUUUGACGCUAGAGUAUAAGGGAAUUUCACCUAAUCGUUAUUAACUUAUAUUCAUAAGUAGUAAAAGUCGCUAGUCACGAUUGUGUUAAGUAAAUCCUUGGCAAGAGUAACAUGCGUAUUCCAUAGUUAUGAAUGCCUAGUCAAUGUUUAUGAUUUCCAUUGAACUUAAUGAUCUUUGAUAUGUGUCUCUAUCAUGCGUAUUCCAUAGUUAGGGUCCUUGAUAAGAAUAAUUUGGUUGUAAUGUGUAUUCCAUUCAAUUCAAUGAAUCUAGGGAAAUCUGAGAAUUAAUUGGUGCAAUCUAGUUAAUUUGGAACAUUGUCAUUCAUGGUUUGUUGGAAGAGUAACUGGAAAUCGAGUCGUAUGCAUAUGUUUCAUGUGUGGAGAAGGAACCCUCUAACUAGCCUUUCACCAUUCUUUUUCAUCCAAAAUCGUUUUUGUUAAGCUUGUUUUCAAAGUCCAAUUUCGUCAAAACCAACCCCCUUACUUUUAAGUCUUGUUUUUAGAGUCAAAACUUGUUUCUUUUAAGUCUUUUAAGUCUUUGAAGUUCUAUUUUCGUCCAAAUCACUUGUUAGGUCUAGAAUUGAGUCUUUUUGGUUGUUAUUUGCUGUUUUGAGUGUUUUGAGUCUAUAGAGUCUAGUUUAGUGUUUUUGAGUCUUAUUUGUGUUGAUUAGCAUCCCUAGUUAAUCCCCGGUCUAGAACGAUCCCUACUUGCAUCAUUACUACAAUUGUCAUCAAUAGGGUUUAAUUUGUGUGUCAACUUAAUUUUCACAUCAGAUCCUCCAUGGACAGCCCAUGGAACUUUGGAAUGUGGUGGAGCAAACUUGACUUAAGCUCGAACUCUUCGGUUUUACCUUGGGCAGCCAUGGGAUAUUGGAUACACAAUGGUGCGGCAUUAUCCAAACCCGAGGCGGAAAGCUCCUUGAGUGUACGGUUGUCCAUGGCCAUGCCUUGAACUUCUCCACCCACUUGUGCCGUGGGAUCCUCCUCUACUUCUAGAACUUGUUCUUCAAGGUCAGGUUCCGGGCUAGGUGGGUUAGACUCUUGUUGGUUCCUCCUUCUUCUCAAAGUUCACUCGAAAUCGUCGUCGAAGUCCAAAAUAUGCUCACGAACAGGUUUGGAACUUCGAGUCAUGCACUAGUACCUAAAAAACAAAGAAACAAAACAAGUUAGCAAUCUGCAAUAGGAAACAAACGAAAAUAAAAAAUAAACAAAAAGAACGAGGGAUUAGCAAAGUUGCUAAUCUCCGGCAACGGCGCCAAAUUUUGAUGCGUAAAAUAACUAAACACACAAAUUAACCCUCUUGUUGACAAUUGUAGUAUGGAUAAGUAGGGAUCGUUCUUAAACCGGGGAUUAUGAGGGAUUGCUAAAACACUCUAAACUGACUCAAAUCUGUAAAACAAAGUUUAAAAUACUAAACUAGACUCAAAGAAUGCAAAACUAAAAUCUAAAACACUAAAACAAACCAAAAGACUCAAAACAGCAAACAAACACUCAAAACUGCCUUAAAACCACUUUCUGGGCAGUUUUGGGACUCUAACACAACUUGGACGAAUUUUGGUUUCCUAAUGACCUAAAACACCUAAAAACAUAUUCUAAGACAAGUUCUAAGUAAUAUGACUUAAAGGAAUAAGGUGGGAUUGAUUUUGGACGAAAAUAAUUAAAUGGGCAGAUUGAAAAAGAAAACAGAUUGUAAGACAAAAUUGUGAUGAAUCAAUGGAUGAUGGAAUAGCUAAGGGGUUCUUCUCCACACAUGAAAUAUAUGCAACGUAAAUCAAUUUCCAGUUAUCAAUUUAAUAAGUUGUGAACGUCGACACUCCAAGUUAAUUAGGUCCGCUUAAAUUAACCUUCAGAUUUCCCUAGAAUCAUUGAAUUGGAUGAAUAUGCAUCGCAAACAAAUUAUUCCUAACAAGUUCUCUAUACGAACAGCAUGAUAAAGACACAAGUUAGAAUCAUUACGUUCUUUGGAAAUAAUAAGCAUCGACAAGGCAUUUGUAACUAUGAAAAGCAUGAUACUCUUGCCAGGAAUCUACUUAACACGAUCGUGACUAGCGACCUUCACUACUUGCGAAUAUAAAUUCAUAACGAUUAGGUGAAACAAACUUAUAUCCUAGCACCAAAUUCAAGCAUGCAAAUUAAGCGUGCACUCUCAAUCAACAUACAAGAAUAAGUUCUAAAUCAAACAGUUAAGCAAAUUGUAUUCACGACUUAUGCAACGAUAACUGAAAGUAAUCAACUUAUUUUACGUAUAUAAUCAUGGUUUUGAAUACACCCUUAGCCAAAACAAAUUUAUCCAAUCAUACUCAAAGCAAAACAAAGAUUACAUGAAUUAGACAUUGAAAUAUAAGAUAAAAUACACCUAAAAUUGUUCAACAACUCAGAAUGAAGAGCCAAACAAUUGAGUGAAUCUGUCCCCUUUCCUUGCUUGCGGCAGAUUGGAUGUUGGUGGUUUCUUGGGUUAUUGAAUGAUGUAGAAUGGAUGGAGGACGUAUGGAAGUGUUUAGGGUUGAUGGGUGGUGCGGCUAGGGUGGUUUUGGGUCAGAAAAUAUGGUGAAUGGUGAAGGAAUGGGGCUGUUGAAGAUGGAGUUCAAUUUCUGGCGUGAAUGGUCAGUUUCUGGAUGAAUGGGGAUGUUUUUAGCUGCACCAGGAUGAGUUUAUUUAAAGGGAUUAGGAAAUUAAAAACCCUAGACUAUUUUGGUAAACAGAAAUUAAGUCAAAAGCUUCUAGAAAUAGGAAAUUAAAUAAGAAACUUAAGGGAAAGUCAAGGGAUAUGCGGCAACACCUUGAAACACAUUAGGAAUGUGUUUUAAUGCAUAAAAUCAGGAAAGAACCCUCUCCCUUGCACGGCAAGGAAGAGGAAAGGGCAAGAAACCUUCACAAGGUGCGGCAAGGCUUUAGGAAAGGUCUAAGUGUCCUAAAACUAAUGGAAAAAGGGAUCCCUUGCAAGGCAAGGAAAGGGAAAAUUGGGAAAGGUGCGGCAAGGCUUUACAAUGUGCAAGAGAGGUGUAUUUGAUGUCCUAGAAUGCUUAGGAUGCCUUCAAAGUUGAUAAAUCUUAGGAACAUUUAGGAAAGGUCAAACCAAAGUAGGAAACCUUGGCUUAACUUUCCUAUUUCAAGUAGGAAUCCUUCUUGGAGUAGGAAUCCUUGUUCUUCUAGGAAUCCUCAUGUGAUUAGGAAUCCAUCUUCAAUUAGGAAUCCUUCGUCGAUUAGGAAUCCUUCUUCGAUUAGGAAUUCUUGGUUGAUUAGGAAUCCUAAUUUCUUCAAGUCUUUAAUUCAUCCAUUCCUUUUGCUCCAAGCAUGUGAUAAUCAUUCCAAGCUCCAUUUUGCUCCAAAAGGCUCCAAAAUGCAUACUUUGCCUUUAGAAUCUGAAAACACACAAAAGUAACUUUAAACACUAAAAUAGCUAACGAAACAUAACAUAAAUGCACGAGAACAAGCCAAUUAAGUCGCAUAAAUAUGCUCCUAUCAGGCCUCCCAAGUAGGAUCGACAAUGGGGUAACAUUGGGUGAAUCCUCAAUCUCUAAAACAUAGAAAUCUGUUGGGAAUAUCAAGUUAUCUACCUGCACCAAAACAUCUUCCAAAACUCCUUUCGGAUAUGCAUUAUAACGAUCGGCUAAUUGAAUUAUGACACCAUCGUUUUUAAGCUCUCCUAAGUUCAUAGAUGCAUAGUUGAGUAUGGCAUGACAUUAAUUGAAGCUCUUAAGUCUAAAAUAGCAUGUUCAAACUUAGUAUUGCAAAUAACACAAGGAAUUGUAAAACUACCUGGAUCUUUGCAUUUAGGGGGUAAUUUCCUUUGCACAACAGCAAAAACAUUUUCACUUACCUGGACAACCUCUUUGUUUGAAAUUCUCCUCCUUGUUGUACAAAGCACUUUCAAAAAUUUGGUGCGAAAAUUAACUUAACACACAAAUUAAACCCUCUUUUGACAUUUGUAGUAUAUGUAUAAGUAGGGAUUGUUCUUAAAUCGGGGAUUAUGAGGGAUUGCUAAUCGACUCUAAACUGACUCAAAGACACAAAAACAAACUAAAAAUGUUUAGAUAGACUCAAAAGAUUCAAAACAAGUUCACAAGACUCAAAAUAAGCUAAAAAAACUCAAAACUGCCUAAAAACACAAACUAGGUAGUGUUUGACACUAAACAUAAUUUUGGACGAAAAUUGGUUUUAUCUUAACUCCAAACACUUAAAAACACAACUAGGACAGAUUGUAACUAAUUAGACACACUAAAGUAAAGGGAGAUUGGGUUUUGGAUGGAAAUAAAGUAAAACUAAGCAGAAAUUAAAACUAGGCAGAUUUGCACGAAUUUGGCAAAAAAAUAUGGAUGAUGGGCUAGCUAGAAGGUUAUUCUCCACACAUGACACUUGCAUACAAAACGAUUUCCUGUUGCUUCUCAAUAAACCAUGAACCUCAAUACCCCAGGUUAAGUAGGUACGCUUAAAUUAACCCUCAGAUUUUCCUUAUGUCAUUGAAUUGGAUGGAAAUAGUGCAUCGCAAUCAAAUUAUUCUUCAAAAGUUCCCUACAUGAAAGCGCAUAAUAGAGAUACAAUCAAAGAUCAUUAAGUUAUAUGAAAAUCAUAAGUACUGACAAGGCAUUCGUUACUAUAAAAGCGCAUGAUACGUAUGCCAGGAAUUUACUUAACACGAUUGUGACUAGCAACCUCAUUUACUUAACACGAUUGUGACUUGCAACCUCCACUACUCAUGAAUAUAAGUUUGUAACGAUUAGGUGAAACUCCCUUAUAUCCUAGCAUCAGAUUUAUGCAUGUAAAUUAAGUGUGCACUCUCAACUCACAUACACAAACAAAUUUUAAUUCAAGCAGAUAAGUAAAUUGAAUUCACAAUUUAUGGAAUCACAACUGGAUGUAAUCAAAUUAUAUUGCAAGUAUAAUCAUGGUUUCAAAAUUCCCCCUAGCUAAGAGGGGUUUAGUUCCUCAUACUCACAAAAUGAUGUGAAAAUUAUGUUGACACACAAAUUAACCCUCUUGUUGACAAUUGUAGUAUGGAUAAGUAGGGAUCAUUCUUAAACCGGGGAUUAGGAGGGAUUGCUAAAACACUCAAACUGACUCAAAUAUGUAAAACAAGGUUUAAAACACUCGACUAGACUCAAAGAAUGCAAAACUAAACUUUAAAACACUAAAACAAAUCAAAAGACUCAAAACAGCACCAAAACACUCAAAACUGCCUUAAAACACUUUCUGGGCAGUUUUGGGACUCUAAUGCAAACUUGGACGAAUUUUGGUUUUCUAAUGACCUAAAACACUUAAAAACAUAAUCUAAGACAAGUUCUAACUAAUAUGACUCAAAGAAAUAAAGUGGGGUUGAUUUUGGACGAAUUUAAAUUAAAUGGCAGAUUGUAAAGAAAACAGAUUGUAGACAAAAUUGUGAUGAAUCAAUGGAUGAUGGAAUGGCUAAGGGGUUCUUCUCCACACAUGAAAUAUAUGCAACGUAAAUCAAUUUCCAGUUAUCAAUUCAAUAAGUUAUGAACCUCGACACUCCAAGUUAAUUAGGUCCGCUUAAAUUAACUUUCAGAUUUCCCUAGAAUCAUUGAAUUGGAUGAAUAUGCAUCGCAAACAAAUUAUUCCUAACAAGUUCUCUAUAUGAACAGCAUGAUAAAGAUACAAGUUAGAAUCAUUACGUUCUUUGGAAAUCAUAAGCAUCGACAAGGCAAUUGUAACUAUGAAAAGCAUGAUACUCUUGCCAGGAAUCUACUUAACACGAUCGUGACUAGCGACCUUCACUACUUGCAAAUAUAAAUUCAUAACGAUUAGGUGAAACAAACUUAUAUCCUAGCACCAAAUUCAAGCAUGCAAAUUAAGCGUGCAUUCUCAAUCAACAUACAAGAAUAAGUUCUAAAUCAAACGGUUAAGCAAAUUGUAUUCACGACUUAUGCAACGAUAACUGGAAGUAAUCAACUUAUUUCACAUAUAUAAUCAUGGUUUUGAAUACACCCUUAGCCAAAACGAAUUUAGCCAAUCAUACUCAAAGCAAAACAAAGAUUACAUGAAUUAGACAUUGAAAUAUAUAAGAUAGAAUACACCUAAAAUUGUUCAACAACUCAGAAUGAAGAGCCAAACAAUUGAGUGAAUCUGUCCCCUUUCCUUGCUUGCGGCAGAUUGGAUGUUGGUGGUUUCUUGGGUUAUUGAAUGAUGUAGAAUGGAUGGAAGACGUAUGGAAGUGUUUAGGGUUGAUGGGUGGUGCGGCUAGGGUGGUUUUGGGUCAGAAAAUAUGGUGAAUGGUGAAGGAAUGGGGCUGUUGAAGGUGGUGUUCACUUUCUGGCGUGAAUGGGUAUUUUCUGGGUGAAUGGGAGAUGAUGAUCUGAUCUAGGGGUUAUAAUGAGUAUAUAUAGGCAUCCAAAACCCUAGGGUAAUCAGAUUAGGGUUUCUAGAAGCCCAAAUCCACCAGAAAUUAGGUUAAAACAAUCAGAUUUUUAGUGGGAAUAAGGCCUAAGGUGCGGCUAGGGUUAGGGUUUAGAGAUGGGCCUUCUAGAAUGCCUUGCAAGGCAAGGAAAUCAGAUAUUUGAUAUGAAAAUUAACUUGACACACAAAUUAAACCCUAUGGAUGACAAUUGUAGUAUAUGAGCAAAUAGGGAUCGUUCUAGACCGGGGAUUAACUAGGGAUGCUAAUCUAUGUAAAACUGACUCAAGAACAUAAAAUUAUAAUGUAGGACACUAAACUAGACUCAAUUAAUGCAAAACUAGAAUUUAAAACACCUAAACAAACUAAAAACUCAAAACAGCAACUAGAAGGCUCAAAACUGCCUUAAAACCACUUUCUGGGCAGUUUUGAGUACCUAACACUAGUUUGGACGAAUUUGGACUAUGACUUGACUCAAAACACUUAAAAACACAACUAAAUGGAUCUCUAACUAAUCUAACACUUUAAAAUAAAUGGGGGAAUGAUUUUGACGAAAAUUGAAACUUUACAACUUAAACUUUGAAAACAAACUUAAAGCAAAACAGAUUGUGAUGAAAUAGAAUGGUGAGAAGCUAGUUAGAGGGUUCCUUAUCCACACAUGAACAUAUGCAUACAACUCAAUCUCCAAUUACUCUUUCAACAAACCAUGAAUGACAAUGCCCCAAAUUAACUAGAUUGCACCAAUUAAUUCUCAGAUUUCCCUAGAUUCAUUGAAUUGAAUGGAAUACGCAUUACAACCAAAUUAUUCUUAUCAAGGACCCUAACUAUGGAAUACGCAUGAUAGAGACACAUAUCAAAGAUCAUUAAGUUCAAUGGACAUCAUAAGCAUUGACGAGGCAUUCAUAACUAUGGGAUACGCAUGUUACUCUUGCCUAGGAUUUACUUAACACAAUCGUGACUAGCGACUUUCACUACUUACGAAUAUAAGUUAAUAACGAUUAGGUGAAAUUCCCUUAUACCCUAGCAUCAAGUUUAAGCAUGCAAAUUAAGUGUCGACCCUCAACCCACAUACAUAAACAAGUUAUCAAUCAAAUAGAUAAGUAAAUCACAUUCACAAUUUCUGAAAUCAUAAUUGGAAGAAAUCAAAUCAUAUAAAACAUAUGUCCAUGGCUUCAAAUUCACCUCUAACUAAAAAGAAAUUAGUUCCACAUGUUUAACAUAAUUGAACAGCAAGUUAAAUUAAACAUGAAAACAGAAGCAAGGGAAGAAAGAACUCUAGAAACUCCAAUGGUUGAAGAUUGCAUGCGGCAAAGCCUUCCUCCUCUCCUAAGGUCACGGCAAAGCUCCUCUCUUUGGUGGAAUGGAUGUGUUGCGGCAAAAGGAUGGGGGAAGGUUAGAAAAUAUGGAAGAAUGGUGGUAGAUGGCUUGCGGCAAGGAAGAAAAAUGGCUAGAAUUGUGUUUUUGGGAUUUUCCGAUGUGUAGAUGGUGUGGCUGAAAGUAUGGACGAAAAUUCUGAAUAUGGAGAGGGUCUCCCUGGCCAAGGGAGGUAAAACACAUAUAUAUAGGCAGCCAAACCCUAAAGAAAUCAGGUUAGACAAAUGGGCUAGGGUUUAGGUGCGGCUAGGGUUAGGAAAUCCACCAAAAACUAGGGUUUCUAGAACAUUAGGUGCGGCAUGGGCUUAGGGUAAGUAAUCAGAUUUUUUUCAUGUGAACAAGGCCUAAGUGCGGCUGAUUAAGUGGGCUAGGGUUAGGGUUAGGUGCGGCAUAGGUCCAAGAGGCAAAGAUGGGUCAUCCAAAAGCCCAAAGUCAAGAAUAGAAACUCUCGAAAAUGGAAACCUCCAAGAAUAGAAACUUCCAACUUUAGAAACUUUAGUUGCCAAUUCCGACUUCUUUGUUCUUUACUUUCAUUUCUUCAUUUCUUAAGCUCCCUCGACCUUCAAACUCGUCCAUUCUUCGUGCUCCAUUUGCAUACACCACAUUUCAGCUCACUUUUGCUCCAAAAACACCAAAUUGCAUCAUUUCGUGUAAUAUGUCUUUUAACCCUGAAAACACAUGAAAGUAGCUUAAAAGACUACUUUGACGAAGAAAACAUAACAACAAUGCAUAAGAACUAGCUAACUAAGGCGCAUAAAUAUGCUCCUAUCAAUAUUCUAGAGGCCUAGGUGCGGCUAGGGUUAGGGUCCACAAGGAAUUAGGGUUUAGGUCAUCUAAAAGCCCAAAGCCAAGAAUAGAAACUCUCGAAAAUGGAAACCUCCAAAAAUAGAAACUUCCAACUUUAGAAACUUUGGUUUCCAAAUCUGAAUUCUUUGUUCUUCACUUUCAUUUCUUCAUUUCUUAAGCUCCUUUGACCUUCAAACUCGUCCAUUUCUUGUGCUCCAUUAGCAUACACUUCAUUCCAGCUCAAUUUUGCUCUAAAAUGCUCCAUUUUGCACUUCUUUGCAUACUUCGUCUGUAAACCUGAAAUUGCACGAAAAUGACUUUAAACACUAAAAUAACUAAAGAAAAACAACAUAAACUUUGCCAACUAAGUCGCAUAAAUAUGCUCAUAUCACAAAACAAAGAUUAUUGAACUUAAACAUUGAAAACAAAAGAAAGAUUACACCUAAAACGUUCCAGCAACUCUAACUUGAAUGGCAAGCACGUCCAAGGGCUCUCCUUCUUCUUCUUUGCUGCGGCACAAGGUGUGGUUGAUGGUUUGAGGGGUGGUUUGUAUGAAAGAAUGGCUGAAAGUAUGUAUGGUGGUGAAUGGGUCAAUGGAAGGUGAUACGAAAAUUAACUUAACACACAAAUUAAAUCCUCUUGUUGACAAUUGUAGUAUGGAUAAGUAGGGAUUGUUCUUAAACCGGGGAUUAUGAGGGAUUGCUAAACACUCUAAACUGACUCAAAGACACAAAACAAACUAAAAACGUUUGGAUAGACUCAAAAGAUUCAAAACAAGUUCACAAGACUCAAAAUAAGCUAAAAACACUCAAAACUGCCUAAAAACACAAACUAGGCAGUUUCUGAUUCUAACACAACGUUGAUGCGAAAUAUAUAAGCACACAAAUUAAACCCUCUUUUUAUCAAUUGUAGCAAAGUAUGCAAGUAGGGAUCGUUCUAGGCCGGGGAUUAGGAGGGAUUGCUAAAUGAUGCGAAAUAGAUUAAGACACAAAUUAAACCCUCUUUUGUCAAAUUGUAGUAAAUAUGUAAGUAGGGAUCGUUCUAAACCGGGGAUUAGGAGGGAUUGCUAAUCUCUUGAAAACUGACUCAAUAAUGUAAAAACAAAGUUUAAAACACUAAACUAGACUCAAAGAAUGUAAAAUUAAAAGUUAAAACACCAAAACAAAGCAAAGGAACCAAAACAGCAAAUAAACACUCAAAACUGCCUUAGAAGCACAAUCUGGGCAGUUUUGAGUACUAACACAAAUUUGGACGAAUUUAUGUUAUAACUUGACUCAAAACACUAGAAAACAUAAACUAACACACUUUCUAACUAAUCUAGGACUCUAAAAUAAAGGGGGAUUUUGUUUUGACGAAAAUUAAAAUAAAGAAAACAGAUUGGAAAUAGGGCAGAUUGUAAAAACGAUUUUGGUGAAAUAGAUGGGUAGAAGGCUAGUUAGGAGGUUCUUCUCACACAUGACACACUUGCAAACAAAACGAUUUUCAGUUGUUCUUCCAAUAAAUUAUGAAACUCAACACCCCAAGUUAAUUAGAUACGCUUAAAUUAACCUUCAAGUUCUCCUUAAGUUAAUGAAUCGGAUGGGAAAGCGUAUACAACAAUUCAAAGCAUUCCUCAAAGGUUCCUUACGUGAUGAGCACAAUAAAGAUACAAUCAAGAAUCAUGGAGCACAAUGAGAACUAUAAGUGUUGACGAGGCAUUCGUUACUAUCAUGAGCAUGAAACUAGUGCCAAGAAUUCAUUCAACGCGAUCGUUUUCAAGCGACCUUCACUACUUGUGAUUAUAAGAUUGUAACUAUUAGGUGAAACUCCCUUAUAAUCUAGCGUCAUAUUCAUGCAUGAAAACUAAGCGUGCACUCUCAAUCAACAUACACAAAUAAGUUAUCAAUCAAGUAGAUGAACGAAUUGAAUCCACAACUUAUGAAAUAACAACUGAAUGUAAUCAAAUCAUAUUGCAAGCAUGUACAUGGUUUCGAAUCACCCCCCAACUAAGGGGGUUUAGUUCCUCAUACUCACAACACAAAGUUUGUUGAAUUGAAACAUUGAAAACAUAAGAAGAUCACACCUAAAAAUUCCAGCAAUCUAAAUUGCACAGCAGGAACGUCUAAGAACCUUCCUCCUCUUCCUUGGUUGCGGCCCAGGGGUUUGUGAUGGUUUUUGGGGGUUAUGGAUGGUGUAGAAUGGUGGAAAAGUGUGUAGGAUAGGUGUAUGGGACGGCUAGGGUGGUUUUGGGUCAGAAAAUAUGGUGAAUGAUGAAGGAUAGGUGCUGUUGAAGAUGGAGAAUGGUUUCUGGCGUGAAGGAUUAUUUUCUGGAUGAAUGGUCCCCUUUGUGGCUGCACAAGGAUGUUUAUUUAAAGGGAUUUAGGAAAUUAAAAACCCUAGGCUAAUUAGGUAAUCAGGAAUUAAGUUUAAAGCUUCUAGAAUUAAGGAAACAAAUCAGAAAAUUAAAAGGAAAGGUCAAGGAAAUUCGGCCAGGGUUUAUAGCAUAAAAAGGAAGGUGUUUUAAUGCUCCAAAACAGGAAAGAGCCGUCUCCCUUGCACGGCAAGGAAGAGGAAAGGGCAAGGGAGUGUGGCAAGGGGUCCAUAAGGGUUCUAGGCUUUUGUUUUGUGUCCUAGAAUGCUUAGAAAAUCUUCAUAAUUGCUGGAACUUUUAGGGACAAUUAGGAAAAAUCAAACCAAAGUAGGAAACCUUGGCUUAACUUUCCUACUUCAAGUAGGAAUCCUUGUUGGAGUAGGAAUCCUUGUUCUUCUAGGAAUCCACAUGUGAUUAGGAAUCCGUCUUCAAUUAGGAAUCCUUCGUUGAUUAGGAAUCCUCCUUCAUGUAAGCACUUUCCUACUUCAACUAGGAAACCUUGUUCAAGUAGGAAUCAUCAUCUUCAAGCCUUCAAAUUCGUCCAAACCUUGGCUCCAAAUAUGUGACAUGCAUUCCAAACUCCAUUUUGCUCCAAAAAGCUCCAUUUUGCUUCUUUUUGCACACUUUGACCUUAGAACCUGAAAACACACAAAAGUGACUUUAAACACUAAAAUAGCUAAGUAAACACAACCUAAAUGCACGAGAACAAGCCAAUUAAGUAGCAUAAAUAUGCUUUCUAUCACUAAAACACUUAAAACUGACUCAAAAACGUAAAACAAAGUUUAAAACACUGAACUAGACUCAAAGAAUGCAAAACAGCGCAUAAACACUCAAAACUGCCUUAAAAACACAAUCUGGGCAAUUUUGAACACCAAACACAAAAUUGGACGAAACUAGGUUAUAACUUGACUCAAGACACUUAAAAAACAAACUAAAUUGAUUUCUAACUAAUCUAACACUUUAAGAUAAAUGGGGAUUUGGUUUUGACGAAAUUGAAAACAAAACAAAAUUUUUUUAAACUAAAACAGAUUUGAAAACGAAAUUGAUUUAAAUGAAUGGAUGGAAAGCUAGCUAAGGGGUUCUUCUCCACACAGGUCACACUUGCAUACAAAACGAUUUCCAAUUGCUUUUCGAUAAACCAUGAAUUCCCAACACCCCAAGUUAAUUAGGUACACUUAAAUUAACUUUCAGAUUUCCCUUUAGUCAUUGAAUUGAAUGGAAAUAGCGCAUCGCAAUCAAAUUAUUCCUUAAAAGUUACCUACAUGAAAGCGCAUAAUAGAUAAACAAUCAAAGAUCAUUAAGUUCUAUGGAAAUCAUAAGCAUUGGCGAGGCACUUGUUACUAUGAAAGCGCAUGAAACUUAUGCUAAGAAUUUACUUAACACGAUUGUGAUCAGCAACCUUUACUACUUGUGAAUAUAAGUUUAUAACGAUUAGGUGAAACUCCCUUAUAUCCUAGCAUUAAACUUAUGCAUGAAAAUCAAGGGUGCACUCUCAACCAACAUACACAAAUCAGUUUUAAUUCUUAUAGAUAAGUAAAUUGAAUUCACAACUUAUGAAACGCAAUUAGAAGUAAUCAAAUCAUAUAGCAAGCAUCAUGGUUUCGAAUCCCCCCCUAGCCAAGGGGGGUUUAGUUCCUCGUACUCGCAAAACAAAGAUACAUAAAUUUAGACAUUAAAAUUCAAAGAAAGAAAACACCUAGCUGAUCCAACUUGGACAGCAGGUGCAUCCACGAAUCCUCCUUCCUCCUUGCUGGGGCACAAAGGUUAGUGACAGGUUUUGGGUGGUAUUUGUGGUGUAGAAUGGAUGGGGAAUGGUAUGGUAGGGUUUAGGAUUGGUGGGUGGUGCGGCAAGGGGUGUUUAUGGGCAGGAAUUAUGGUGAAUGGUGGUGGAAGGCUGCGGCAGAGAGUGGCUUUGUGUUUCUGGCGUGAAUGAUGUGAAUGAGAGGUGGUUAUUCAGCCAAGGGGUGAAUGAGAGUAUAUAUAGGCACUUAAAACCCUAGGGUAAUCAGAUAUGGACUUGGAUAACCCAAAUCCACAAGGAAAAAGGUUUAAACAAUCAGAAUUUUCAAGGGAAAAGGCCUAAAGGUGCGGCAGAUAAGGGAUAAGGAGGAUAAGGCUUCUAGAAUGCCUUGCAAGGCAAGGCAAAAGGUUCUAACAAGGGAGAUGUGCGGCAGGUUUAUGGGAGUAUAGAUAGGGCUUCAAGAAAGCCCAAAACCAAGAGGAAAUAAGCCCUAACGCACGGCAAGGAUAAGAAAAUAUUCUAGAACCUUUCUUUGUGUCUUCCAACGCUUAGGAACCUUCUAAUGUUGCUAAAACUCAAGGCCAUCUAGGUUUAGGAAAAAUCAACCCAAAAUAGGAAACUUUUAGGCUUGACUUUCCUACUUCAAGUAGGAAACCUUGUUUGAGUAGGAAUCUUCAUUCUUCUAGGAAUCCAUCUUCAACUAGGAAUCCCUCGUUGAUUAGGAAUCCUUCGUGGAUUAGGAAUCCUUCUUUAAUUAGGACUCCUCAAAACUUCAAUUUUGUCCCAACCUUGUGUUCCAAGCAUGUGCUAUUCAAUCCAAGCUCACUUUUGCUCCAAAAAGCUCCAAAUUGCAUCUUUUUAUGUAAUAUGCCCUUAAAACCUGAAAACACAUGAAAAUAGCUUAAAAGACUACUUUAACUAAGAAAACAUCACGAAAAUGCAUAAGAACUAGCUAACUAAGGCGCAUAAAUAUGGUCCUAUCAAACGUGUGGACGAAUUUCGGUUUUAUAUUGGCUUAAAACACAUAAAAACACAAACUAAAUAGAUUCUAACUAAUUAGACACUCUAAAGUAAAGGGGGAUUUGGUUUUGGACGAAAAUAAAGUAAAACAAGGCAAGAACUAAAACUAGACAGAUUUGCACGAAAUUGGUUGAAUUAGAUGGAUGAUGGGCUAGCUAGGUUCUUCUCCACACAUGACACACUUGCAUUUGAAUUGAUUUCCAAUUGUCUCUUUCAAUAGACCAUGAAACUCAAUAGCCCAGGUUAACCGUGACAACACUUUUUUAACCUUCAAGUUUUCCUUAAGUUCUUGAAUUGGAUGGGAAAGCACAUACAAUGAUUCAAAACAUUCUCUAAAAGUCCCCUACGGGAAAAGCACAAUAAAGGUACAAUCAAAUAUCAUUAAGCUUCAUGAAAACUAUAAGCAUUGACGACGCAUUCGUAACUAUGAUGAGCAUGAUAGUUUUGCCAAGAAUUCACUUAACGCGAUCAUUUAUAAGCGACUUCCACUACUUGUAAAUAUAAGUUUGUAACUAUUAGGAUAAACUCCCUUAUAUUUUAGCUUCAAAUUCCUGCAUGAAAACUAAGUGUGCAAUCUUAAUAAACAUACAAGAAUAAGUUAUCAAUCAAACGGUUAAGCAAAUUGAAUACACAACUUAUCAAAAUAACUACUGAAGGAAAUCAAUUCAUAAUGCAAGUAUAAUCAUGGUUUUGAAUAGCCCCCUAGCCAAGAAGGGCUUAGUUCCUCAUAAUCGCAAAACAAAGAUAAAUAGAUUUAUACAUUGGAAACAAAAGAAAGAAAACACCUAAAACGCUCCAAUGAUCCAACUUGGAAAGCAAGCACAUCUAGGCACUUUCCUUCCUUUCCUUUGCUGCGGCACAAGGUGUUGGUGAUGGUUUGAAGGGUUGUUUGUAUGGAAGAAUGGGUGGAAACAUGUAUGGUGGUGUUUUGGAUGGAUAAAGGUUGCGGCAAAGGUGUAUGGAAAGGUUUUUGAUGGUUUAUAGAUGCGGCUAGGGUGUAUGGAAGUAGAUGAUGAUGAAUGGUGAACGAUUGACUCUACUGGGGUGUAUAUUUAAGGACUUUAGGGUAAUUAAGGCUAGGAAAUAAUUUAGGUAACUGAGAGGAGCAUAUUUAUGCGACUUAGUUAGCUUGUUCUUGUGCAUUUUUGUUAUUAUUCUUUAGUUAUUUUAGCGUUUAAAGUCAUUUUCGUGCAAUUUUAGGUUUAUAUGGCAAAGAAGUGCAUUUGGAGCCUUUUUGGAGUAAAAGUGGGCUUGGAGUGGAUGACACAUGCUUGGAGCUAAAGGAAUGGACGAAAUUGAAGACCUAAAGAUAUGAAGAUUCCUAAUUAAAAGAGGAUUCCUAGAAGAAUAAGGAUUCCUACUUGAAGUAGGAAAGUUAAGCCAAGGUUUCCUAUUUUGGGUUAAUCUUUCCUAAUCCUAAAUGGCCCUAAGUUCCAGCAACAUUGAAAGUUCCUAUGCAUUGUAGGACAUAAACCAAAGGUUCCUUACACCAUUCAAAGCCUUGCGGCACCACCUUUCCCUUUCCCUUUUCAUUCCUCUUCCUUGCCGUGCAAGGGAGAGCCCUUCUUCCCUUUUCCUUGUUUCACAUACCCUUUUUCCUUCCCUCAACAUUCCAGCCGCAUAUCCCCUUACCUUUUCCUUAGGAUUUUGACUUUAAUUCCUAUUUCCCUUUAUGUUUUGGUUUAAUUUCUGUUAACUAAAUUAUUUCCUAGUCGUAAUUACCCUAAAGUCUUUAAAUAUUCACCCUAGCUGCAUCUAUGGAUUAUCAUUCACCAUUCUACACAUCUAUCCCCUUCCAGCCGCACCCAUUCACCACUCAUCACGCCAUUCACCCAUUAUUCAGCCAUACAUCCAUCUAUAUACAUCCAGCCUCACUUCCUACACAACCUUAAUCCAUCAUUCCGUACAUCUAACCAUCAAAACCGUCAUCCAUCCCUUGUGCCGCAGCAAAGGAUGGGAAGGAAAGUUCUUGGACGUAUUGCUGAAGCGUUUAGGUGUUUUCUUUCUUUUGUUUUCAAUGUAUAAAUCUGUUUACCUUUGUUUUGUGAACAUGAGUGGCUAAACCCGUUCUUGCUAGAGGGAAUUCAAAGCCAUGAACAUAUUUGCAAUAUGAAUUGAUUUUUCAAUUGUGAUUUCAUAAACCUUGAAUGCAAUUUACUUAACGGCUUGAUUGAUAACUUAUUCUUGUAUGUUGAUUGAGGGUUAACACUUAGUUUGCAUGCAUGAAUUUGAUGCUAGAAUAUAAGGGAGUUUCACCUAAUCGUUAUGAACUUAUAUAUUCACAAGUCGUGGAGGUUGCUGGUCACGAUCGUGUUAAGUAAAUUCCUGGCAUAAGUAUCAUGCAAUUCAUAGUUACAAGUGCCUUGCCAAUGCUUAUGAUUUUCAUAGAACUUAAUGAUCUUUGCUCGUAUCUUUAUCAUGCAAUUCAUGUAAGGAACUUGUGAGGAAUAAUUUGGGUUGUCGCAUGCAAUCAUCCAAUUCAAUGAAAAUAGGAAAAUCUGAGGGUUAAUUAGUGCAAUUCACGGUUAAUCUGGGGCGUUGAGGUUUAUGGUUUAUCGAAAGAACAAUUGAACAUCAAUUUGUAUGCAAGUAUGUCAUGUGUGGAGAAGGAACUCUAGCUAACAAAUCAUCCAUAGUUUUUCCCAAAUUUGUGCAAAUCUGUUAAGUCUAGUUUCUGCCUAGUUUUACUUAUUUUCGUCCAAAACAAACCCCCUCUUUACUUUCUUGUUUGAAAGUGUUUAAAAUUUGUUUUGUUUGUGUUUUUGAGUAUUUUGAGUCAAGCCAAAACCCUAAGUUCGUCCAAAGUUGUGUUUAGAGUUAGAAACUGCCUAGUUGGUGUUUUUAGGCAGUUUUGAGUGUUUUUAAGUUGUUUUUGAGUCUUUUGAGUCUAUUCAAACGUUUUUAACUUUGUUUUGAUGCUUUUGAGUCAGUUUAGAGGUUUUAGCAAGCCCUCCUAAUCCCCAGUUUAGAACGAUCCCUACUUGCAUUUAUACUACAAUUUGACAACAAGAGGGUUUAAUUUGUGUGCUUAUUUAUUCUGCAUCAGUAAUAGAAAUUUAAAUCAAAUCAUAAAGGGAAAUAGGAAUUAAAGUCAAAAUCCUCAGAAAAGGUAAAGGAGGUGCGGCUGAAGGGAAAUAGGAAAGGGAAAGGCUUUUAAUUGAAAAGGGAAUGUGAUUUAUGGCAGAAAAAUAGGAAAGAGAUGGCUCCCUUGCACGGCAAGGAAGAGAAAAGGGAGACAAGGUGCGGCAAGGCCUUGUAUGGUGCAAGGACCCUUUGGUUUGUGUCCUAAAAUGCAUAGGAGACCUUCAAUGUUGCUGGAACUUAGGGACAUUUAGGAUUAGGAAAGGUCAAACCAAAAUAGGAAACCUUGGCUUAACUUUCCUUCUUCAAUUAGGAAUCCUAGCAUCUUUAGGUCUUCAAUUUCGUCCAUCCCUUUAGCUCCAAGCAUGUGAUAUUCAUUCCAAGCCCAAAGUUGCUCCAAAAAGCUCCAACAUGCACUUCUUUGCUUCUUUAAUCGUUUAGGCCUACAAACACACGAAAAUGGCAUAAAGUGCAUGAAUAACUAAGAACUAACAACAUAAUUGCAAGAAAACAAGCUAACUAAGUCACAUCAAUAUGCUCCUAUCAAAUUCCCCCACACUUAGCUUUUGCUAGUCCUCGAGCAAAACAAACAAAAUAAACAACACAUAACCUAGACCUUCCAACAAUUUCCUCAGGGAUUUUCAAUGAAACAUGACAUGCCAAAGAUCGCCACUCACAUAGAUUUAAGCAAUUCUUACCCUUAAGCAUACUUAAUCAUAGUCACCAUUCACUAGCUCACAUUUAAUCAAUCAAAACAACAUUUUUAAUGGAGUAACAUGCCUUAGGGAUUUCCCUUAAUUCCUUACUAGAUAUGCACUCAAUUUUCACUCAGAUUUUCAGACUGCACACCCUACACUAGGUAUAUGUGAGAAGAUUGAUGUAAACAUGAAAACUAGUACUCACAUAUGUUUUUCAACAAAGAAGCAAUGUCUGGAAUUAUUAAUGCAUGUAUAUAUAUGAUCUCAUGAAUAGAAUGCUACUACUUAGAAGCGAGAACCAGUGAUAUCAUAUGCUCAUACCAAUUUCAAACUCCACAUAUUGAAACACACAACACUCAAGAUGGAAGUCAAGGGUUGUAACGGGGUUAAGGGUGUUGGCUAACAAAGAAAGGUAAAGGAAAACGAAUGUUCUUAAAGCAAUAGUGAGCAAAGUAAUGAGUUAGGCAUUUAUAAUUCGCUUUAGAAUGCAAAAAUCUACUUUUAAACACAAGGGAAGAUUCAUGCAACACCUUAGGGUCAAAUUCAAAUGAUGUGAAAAUUACUUGACACACAAAUUAAACCCUAUUGAUGACAAUUGUAGCAAAGAUGUAAGUAGGGAUCGUUCUAAACCGGGGAUUAACUAGGGCUGCUAAUCUACUCAAAUUAAACUCUAAAACACUAAACUAGACUUAAAAACACAAGAAUAGACUCUAUAGACUCUAAACUGACCUAAGACACUCAAAUCUGCAAAACUAAGUGAAAUUGACUCAAUUCUAAACCUAACAAGUGAAUUGGACGAACUUAAAACUUACUUUGACUCAAAAGAUUAAAAGAAAACAGAUUGUAACUUAACUAACUCAGAAAACACUUAAAAGACUCAAAACAGCACAAUACUAACAAUUAGACUCAAAACAGAUUCUAGAGAUGAAAUUGGACGAAUUUAAGACCAAACUAAGACCCAAACAAUGGUUAUGGACUAAACCUAACCUAUAUUGACUCAAAACACUCUAAAGAACCUAAUUAGGACAGAUUCUGACCUAAUAACAUAAAACAGAAAAGGGGGUUUGAUUUCUGACGAAAUUGAAUUAAAACUAAACAAAUUUCAAGUCAAAGUAAACUAAAACGAAAUUAAGAUAAAUUCAAGGGUGAAAAGCUAGUUAGAGGAUCCUUCUCCACACAUGAACAUAUGCAACAUAAAUCGAUUUCCAGUAUUGUUUCUUUAAACCAUGAACAACAAUGCCCCAAAUUAAUCGUGAAUGCACAAAUUAACUCUCAGAUUUCCCUAAAUUCAUUGAAUUGGAUGAAUGCAUGCAACAACCCAAAUUAUUCUUCUCAAGUUCCCUAUAUGAACAGCAUGAUAGAGAUACAUUCAAAGAUCAUUAAAUUCCAUGGAAAUCAUAAGCAUUGACAAGGCAAUUAUAACUAUGAACUGCAUGAUACUUUUGCCAAGAAUCUACUUAACACGAUUGUGACUAACAAUCUCCACUACUUAUAAUUAUAAGUUUCAAACGAUUAGGUGAAAGUCCCUUAUAAUUUAGCAUCAGAUUCAAGCAUGCAAACUAAGUAGGCCUCCUUAAUCAACACACAAGAAUAAGUUAUCAAUCAAAUAGAUAAGUAAAUCGCAUUCAUGUUUUACGAAACAAUAACUGAAAGGAAUCAAUUCAUAUUAACAUAUGUCCAUGGCUUCAAAUUCACCACUAACUAAUAAGAGUUUAGUUCCACAUGUUCAUAGGAAAAGCAAAUUAAAAUAAACAUCGAAACUGAAAGGAGGGAAGAAAGAACUCUUAAAACUCCCAAGGAUGCAGAUGGCUUGCGCACAAGGCCCUCCUUCAUCAAUGGAAUGCACGACAAGGCUCUCCUUCUUCUCCAAAAGGUGCGGCAAAGAUGUAUAUGGAUGUAGGAUGGUGUUUUGUGAUGUAGAAUGGUGAUUAGGGUUGCGGCAAGGUGUUUUUGAAUGGUGUGAAGGGUGAUGACGAAUUUAUGGCUGAAAACUUGUAUUUAUAGGCUAGGGUUUUCACAAAAUCUGAUGGAGAUAAAAGGCUUGGCCCAUCCAAAGGAGAAAAUAACUAGGGUUUUAUGCAGAUUUUUAGGCUUCUAGAACAUUAGGUGCGGCACAAACCCUAGGACUUUUGCCUAAUCCUUUCAUCACCCACACCAUACUCUAACCCCAUCCUAGCUCAAUACAAGCCGUACCUUAUAGCUUGGGGAAUGCCAAUGUGAUGAAGUCCAAAGGUAAAUUGAUUGAUAGAGCAAGAUUGUGGCGUGUACCAAAGGCACCUAUGUGAAGUGUGGUUCUAAAAAAAUUUGGGAGACUUAAAGAAAAGAAAAGAAAAGAAAAAAAAAAAGAGAAGAGAAUCAAGUGAAAACAAAUUCCAAAUCUCCUUAUUAUAAGACAUAGGGCUUGGACACCAAAAAUCAAGAAGAAAGAAGAUAAAUUCAAGUAAAAAGCUGGACCUCAAGGACACUUUGGUAUGCCCCAAGCUCUAGUAUUCCAUAUCACUUCUUUCAUAACCUAUAACCUAAGCCUUACAUUACAAUCUUGAGAAAGACCUAGUUGAUCAUUGAGGAUGUAUUCAUGAGUGAUGGUAAGUGUGUGUGUUAUCUAUAUUCUUAGCAUUUGAUUCAUUUCAUGAGAUCUACUCAGAAUUGUGCUUUCAUUUCAAGUUCAUAUGUGAGAAUUUUGAUUUCCUUUACAUAACUUCACUCACAUAUGUUAGUGGAGAGACUAAACCUUAGGAUCUGAGUGAGAACUUGAGUGAAAACCGUGAGGAAUAGAGUUGAGGCGAAUUCAUUCUUAAGCAUUUGGGUAUGGUGACCUUGAAGUUGUAAGACAUGGUGAAAUAUCUUUAUACAUUACAAUUGAUAUGAUUCUUUGGAAUGGCAAGGCUUUUGAGUUUGAGUGUAAAACAAAGUUUCAUGGGUUUUGAUUAGUUUGUUUAAAGCAUGUUAAACCAAAUUGUGUGCAGAUUUUGUAGAUGUUUGAGGGUGUCAUCUUUGUAAACCCUCAGGAGACACAACUCCUCCAACUAGGGACACCUAGGGGUUCAAAGGCUUGUUGCACAUGCUCAGUGCAAUCGUUUGGCCAGCGAAAGUGGUGUAGUUAGUUGUUAGUGUUUGUUAGAUGUUAGUGUUUUGUGUGUUUUAAUUCUAAGUUUGCUCGUGGACUAGCAAAAACCAGGUUUGGGGGUAUUUGUUAGUUCACAUUUCAUAUGCAUUUUAUAGCAUUCAUAUUUUGUGUCUUUGUGAUGUUUUUUGAUCAAACUUGUUGCAUUUUACAUUAUUUGGUGUUAGUGUGUAGUUAAGUUUGUUUUAGGAUCAAUUGGAAGGCAAUGAAGCAAAAACACCACAUUUUGUGACCGAGAGCUAGUUCAAGCAUGGAGAACAUCUUGUGAGUUAACUUGAAGUCCAAGUGAAGAAUUGAGGACAAGUUGGUUGCUAGAAUUUCAGGAAUUGACAAAGGGUGCAAUUCGGCCAGAUUGGGUGAUUUUAUGCAUGGCACAUGCAUUGGAUUCAGAUUGGGAGGUUUAACACACCUUGCCAUGCAUUUGGUUACCCUUUCAACCCCCUUUCUUCACCUAGAACAUUCACCCCCCAUUAGUUACACCAUUCAGCCACAUUUCACCCACUAAUUCACCCAUGCCGUGCAUUGUUAAUCCUUGACAGCCUGUCCUUGCAGAUUUCACAUGCUCCUCCAUUUAAAUGACCACAUGCUUGCCCAUUCAACCCCAUGCCGUGCACUAUCCAUUUCAGAAAGGAAUUACCCCAUCAUUACACACACUAGCACUCCAUAUUUUACAAUUGUUAAGAUCCAAUCUUGGAUCUGAAUCCAAAAGCUAUUCCAUCCAUUCCCUUUAAGUGAGCUCCUUCAAGAAAUCUGAAACUCUCGGAAUUCCAUCUUCAAUUAGACACCAACUCUACAUUCCAUUAUAUACACUACAUUCCAUAACCUACAUUCUAUCUAUCCCACUCCAGAUUCGACAUUCCUUACACAUUCAUUCUAUUCUUCUUACACACAAACUCUCCAUUUUCUGUCCAUCCUCUUCACCAUAUUACACCAACCAUUUCACCACAACCGUACCACCUUCAUUUAUACAUCAUUCUUGGAGGAGUUACACCACACUUGGAGAGCUAGCACCGAAGGCCAUUCUCAAGUGAUCUUCGAUUCCAGUUUUGCUUCAAGGGGUUUUUCUUCUCAAUUUUAUGUACACUCAUGUGUUAUAUUUAUAUGUCAAAUCUUUGUAAACAUGAAGUGUAACUAAUCUCUCUAUAGGGAUUCGAUGUAGCCUAGAAAGAUUGCCAUGUAGUUAAUUUGGAAUGCUCAGUUUAUCAUUCUAUUUCUUGUUUCAUUCUCUAAUUUAAUUGUGACUUUGUGUGUUGAUUUUAAUGCUUGAUCACCAUUUGAAUUAACCAUAAGUUGGUUUAGCCAAUCUUAGAGCACACAUCAUGCAUAACCUUGGCAGAUAUGGGAAUGAUUGAAGGGAAUGUUUGGCAAACAUCAUGCCAAGUGUUUCCUUUGGUUUUGUGAAAGUUUCUUAUGCUUAAUACAUUCUUGUUUAGGAACCAAAGUUGCACAUCACAAUUAGGUUCAUGACUAGGAAUAUUUGAUCAAAACCACACAUCAUAUGGAUGAUCAUAUCUAAGUGAAACAAACUCAAGAAAUAGAUAGAUUGAUGAGCAUAAUCUGAAUUAACAAUAUGGAAUUGAUUAGAAAAGGUGAAAUCGAAUCCCUAGCCUUCUCCAUAUUGUUACAUUCCCUAACCUCAACUCCCUUGGUUCUACCUCAUUACAUUACUUGUGAUUCAUUUACUUGUAUUCAUUUCAUUUCCGUGUAUUCAAGUUACAACCUCAAAACUGCCUAAAUUGUUUAGUUCUACUUUCUGUUAGGGUUCUUGCAAAACAAGUGGUUAUAUAGGUCUAAUUAGUCCCUGUGGAUUCGACACCCUUACUUGUGUUCUUAUACUCAACAUGUUUGUAGCACUAGGAAGGAAUAAUCUCAUCAAGCCUCCUUUGAUCUUCAAUUUCGUCCAUUUCUUUUGUUCCAAACAUGCGCCAUUCAAUCCAAGCUUCAUUUUGCUCCAAAAAGCUCCAAAAUGCAUCUUUUUGUGUAAUAUGCCCUUAAAACCUGAAAACACAUGAAACUAGCUUAAAAGACUACUUUAACUUAGAAAACAUAGUAAAAAUGCAUAAGAACUAGCUAACUAAGGUGCAUAAAUAUGCUCCUAUCAUCAAACUUUUGGACCCUUUCUUCAACAAUCAACACUUGUGAGUUCAUUCUCACUUAUUGUCAACUCUUUUUCUUUCUUUUAUUUCAUACCCGUGCCUUUCCUUUCUUUUAUUUCAUACCCAUGCCUUUCCUUUCUUUUGGCACACUAACCAUACAUAUUUCUCAUGAAACACCUUUCCCCCACAUUGAUUACUGCAAUAAUGUUACCCAAAAGGAAUUCUUUCUAAGUCAUGCUCCACUAUACUUCAAGAACAAGGGUAUAGAAAGUCCUAUUCUAGGCUAGGUAGGGAUAAUGUGGUUAACAAAGAAAAUAGGCUAAACAAGGCUCAAUCUACAAAACAAAUGACAAGGGUGGAUUCGGCUAUUUGGCUUUGGUUCACUAAACAACUUCAUCUUGAAUAUGUGUUACGCAAAUCAAUGUCAUGCUUUGAAUGGAACGAGCAUGAGUUCUAGUAUUUUGAUCUAUAAUGAUGAACGCAUUCUAAGUAGCAACCAAGCAAAGAAUAAUGAGAUCAUGCAACGACUUUAGAAAACAAGAAUGCACAGAUUAAUAACUCUCCAAAUAAACGUUUAGGCUCAAGUCUCUCAGGGAUGUAGCGUUUGUUUGAGUUCCUUCCUUCAAGCAUGUUACAAAAACUUAUUUUAUCCUUUGUGAUUACAUGUGAAUUCGUAAACUAUAACUACAACCAAGCAUAAACCAAAGAGCAUAUCAAACUUCCAUCCAUGUUUGUAACUUUCUUUAACAGUCAUGCACUUAAAAACUAAAUUCUCAUCAUUGCAUUGGAAGGUACCCUAAGACACAAACAAUCACACAAAAUAACUCUUUUUGGCUUUUUCAAAACACUUUUUUCAGAAUUUUUUUUCUUUCAAAUUUUCGGAUUUUUACUUCAACACACACCAAAACAGCUCAAAAUGCACUAAAAACACUUAAAAACAGUGAGAAACAACAUUGUAAGUGAUAGGUGAUAGAGUCCCACGAAAUUGAAUAAAAACAUUUGUUUACCCCCCACACUGAAAUCAAACAUUGUCCUCAAUGUUGCAAGCAUAAACUCACUGAUGUGAAAAUUAUGUUGACACACAAAUUAACCCUCUUUUUAUCGAUUGUAGUAAGUAUGUAAGUAGGGAUCGUUCUAGGCUGGGGAUUAGGAGGGAUUGCUAAAUCACUUGAAAACUGACUCAAAUACGUAAAAACAAGUUUAAAACACUAAACUAGACUCAAACAAUGCAAAACUAAACUUUAAAACACCAAAACAAACAAAAAGACUUAAAACAGCAAACAAACACUCAAAACUGCCUUAAAACACUUUCUGGGCAGUUUCUGACACUCAGGAAGAAUUUGGACGAAAAUUGAUUAUAACUUGACUCAAGACACUUAAAAACACAAACUAAAUUGAUUUCUAACUAGUAUGACUCAACAAAGAAAAGGGGGAUUGAUUUUGGACGAAUUUAAAAACAAAACAAAACUUUGUAAACUAAAACAGAUUUUAAAAACGAAUUUGGAUGAUUUGAAUGGAUGGAAGGCUAGCUAAGGGGGUUCAUCUCCACACAUGUCACACUUGCAUAUAAAACGAUUUCCAAUUGCUUUUCAAUAAACCAUGAAUUCUCAACGCCCCAAGUUAAUUAGGUCCGCUUAAAUUAACCCUCAGAUUUUCCUUAAGUUAUUGAAUUGGAUGAAUUGCAUACGACAACCCAAAGCAUUCCCCACAAGUCCCCUACAUGAUUGCAUAAUAGAGAUACAAGCAAGAAUCAUUAAGUUCUAUGAAAACCAUAAGCAUUGACGAAGUACUUGUUACUAUGAUUGCAUGAAACUUAUGCCAAGAAUUUACUUAACACGAUUGUGAUCAACAACCUUUACUACUUGUGAAUAUAAGUUCAUAACGAUUAGGUGAAAUUCCCUUAUAUCCUAGCAUCAAAUUCAUGCAUGCAAACUAAGUGUCGACCCUCAAUCAACAUACAAGAAUAAGUUUUAAUUCACAUAGAUAAGCAAAUUGAACUCACAACUUAUGAAACGCAAUUAGAAGUAAUCAAAUCAUAUAGUAAGCAUAAACAUGGUUUCGAAUCCCCCCUAGCCAAGGGGGGUUUAGUUCCUCAUACUCGCAAAUAAACAAAGAUAAAUAAAUUUAAACAUUAAAACAAAGAUAGAAAACACCUAGAAACGCUCCACAAUCCAAGCUCCUUGAAUGGCAUGCACGGCUCCAAGAGUUCUUCCUUCUUCUCCUUUGCAAACUCACGGCACAAGAGGUAUAUUUGGGUGAAUGCUGUAGUGAAAAUAUGGUAGAGGAUGGUGACUAAAUGGUGCAGCAAAGGAUGGUAUUUAUAGGCUGAGAUUCGCAGCCCCUAUGUAGCAAAGGAAAAGGAUUUAAAGGCCUAAUUUGUAUAGGAUAAUAACACACAAUCCUUGAAGGAAAAGGCUAAGUCUUUUAGGAACCAAGGGGGAAAGGCAUAAUCAGGUUUCUAGAAGUUCCAGAAAGGUUUAGGGCGCCAGAUUUUUAGGAGAGUAGAUAAGGCCUUCUAGAAAGCUUGUUUUGUGGCUGAUUUCCUAGAAGAACAAGGGAUAAGGUGUGGCACCUUUGUAGGAAGGGAUAAGGCUUCUAGAAAUCCCAUUUUAAGCAUCCUAAUCUAAUUAGAAACCCUCCUAAGUGGCUGAAAUGUGGAUAGUUUAGGAUAAGGAUAAGAUAGGAUAGGAUAAGAUUUGAUUGGAUAAGAUAAGCUAAGAUAAGGUUAUGGAUGAGGUUUUGGAUAAGAUUCCUUAUCUUGAGCUGAUUCUUUGACUUUACUCUUCUUCUUCACAUAGGAAACCUUGCUUGAGUAGGAAACUUUAUUCGUCUAGGAAUCCAUCUUCAAUUAGGACUCCUACAUUGAUUAGGAAUCCUUCUUCAUUUAGGAAUUCUUCGUUUAAGCCCUUUCCUACUUCAACUAGGAAACUUUGUAUCUUCAAUUCUUCAACUUUGAAAAGCCUUUCUAGCUUCAUCAAUCCCUCAAAUUCGUCCAUCCCUUGUGCCUCAUGUGCAUGAACUCCAUUUUAGCCCAAUUUUGCUCCAAAAUGCUCCAAAUUGCAUCCUUUUGCUCACUUUGUCUCUAAAACCUGAAAACACAUAAAAAUAGCUUAAAAGACUAACUUAACUAAGAAAACAGAACAUAAAUGCAUAAGAACUAACUAACUAAGGCGCAUAAAUAUGCUCCUAUCACUCACACAAAAGGAAACAAACAAACAACAAAUUAAAUACACUAAACAUUGCAGAAUAGAAACAACAAAGAAAAGGGUUUAGGAACGCAAAUCUGGAAGUGGAGUGCUUCCUAGGGCUUCCUUUGUUGAAUGCAUGGGUUGCCUCCCAAUAAGCGCUUGCUUUAACGUCUUGCAGCCGAAUGAAGAAUUCCAUUCACUCCCCAUUGGAACCCACGGCCUGAAGAGGGAUCUCCUCCACGACAUGCUCAACAAAGCUCUGAUAGUAUGGCUUCAAACGAUGCCCAUUCACCUUGAAUUCUUGCCCAGUUUUCAAGCUUUUGAUUUGGACUGCACCAUGAACAAGCUAACUAAGUCGCAUAAAUAUGCUCCUAUCAAAUUCCCCCACACUUAGCUUUUGCUAGUCCUCGAGCAAAACAAAACAAACAAAACAAAAUAUAACAUAACCUAAACCUUGACACACAAAUUAAACCCUCUUUUUGUCAAAUUGUAGCAAAGAUGUAAGUAGGGAUCGUUCUAGACCGGGGAUUAGGAGGGAUUGCUAAACGCUUGGAAACUGACUUAAACACUCAAAAACAAAGUUAAAAACACUAAACUAGACUCAAAGAAUGCAAAACUAAAAGUUAAAACACUUAAACAAACCUAAAAACCAAAACAGCAACUAGAAGGCUCAAAACUGCCUAAAAACCACUUUCUGGGCAGUUUUGAGCACCUACACUAAUUUGGACGAAAUUUGAUGAAAACUUGAAUCAAAAUACUUAGAAACACAAAUCAAAAAACACUUUCUAACUAAUCUAAGACUUCAAAUUAAAGGGGGAUUUUGUUUUGACGAAAAUUAAACUAAAGAAAACAGAUUGGAAAUAGGGCAGAUUGUAAAAACGAUUUUGGUGAAAUAGAUGGUUAAAAGGCUAGUUAGGAGGUUCUUCUCCACACAUGUCACACUUGCAAACAAAACGAUUUUCAGUUGUUCUUCCGAUAAACUAUGAAUACUCAACGCCCCAAGUUAACCGUGAAUUGCACUAAUUAACCCUCAGUUUUUCCACAAGUUAUUAAGUUGGAUGAUUGCAUACGACAACCCAAAACAUUCCCUACAAGUUCCCUACAUGAAUUGCAUAAUAGAGAUACAAGCAAGAAUCAUUACGUUCUAUGAAAAACAUAAGCAUUGACGAAGCAUUUGUUACUAUGAAUUGCAUGAAACUUAUGCUAAGAAUUCAUUCAACGCGAUCGUUUUCAAGCGAUCUUCACUACUUGUGAUUAUAAGAUUGUAACUAUUAGGUGAAACUCCCUCAUAAUCUAGCAUCAUAUUCAUGCAUGAAAACUAAGCGUGCACUCUCAAUCAACAUAUACACAAAUAAGUUAUCAAUCAAAUAGAUGAACGAAUUGAAUCCAUAACUUAUGAAAUAACAACUGAAUGUAAUCGAAUCAAAUUGCAAGCAUGUACAUGGUUUCGAAUCACCCCCCAACUAAGGGGGUUUUAGUUCCUCAUACUCACAACACACAAAGUUUAUUGAAUUGAAACAUCGAAGACAUAAGAAAGAUUACACCUAAAAUGCCAAAGAAUUCCACUUUGAAUUCUGCACAGCAAGCUCCUCUUUCUUCUUCUCCUUGCUGCGGCAGAGAGGGUUUAGGGGAUUUUUGGGUAGUUUUGGAUGAUUUUGGACGAGGGAGAAUGGUGGAAAAAAUGUCUAGGAUGGGUGUAGGGCACGGCUAGGAAGGUUUGGGGUCAGAAAAUAUGGAGUUGGGUGAAGGUUGGGCUCGGCAAAGGUGAGGGACAGGUUCUGGCGUGAAUGGAGUUUUCUGGAUGUGUUUUUGGGUUUUUGAAGGUAGAUAGGAUAGUAUGGUGGUGCGGCAAGGUGUGGGAAUGGUUUAUGGAGGUGGAGAAUGGUGUAUGGAUGUGUGGAAUGGUGCUGGAAUGGAUGGAAGCUGCGGCAAAAGGUGGGAAAGGUUGCUGGAAUGGGUGGUGGCUGCGACAAGGAGGGGAUUAGGGUGAUGGUGAUUUUCUGAUUUGUGUAGAGGGAAUGAUGAUGUGCGGCUAGGGUUUAGAAAUAUAUAUAUAGGCAUUUAAAAACCCUAGCAAAUCAGAUUAGGGCCUCUAAAACACAAAUCCAUCAGAAAUUAGGUUGAAACAAUUAGACAUUUAGUGGGAAAAAGGGCCUAGGGUGCGGCUGGUAUGUGGGCUAAGGUUAGGGUUUCUAGAAACCCUAACAAGGCAAGGCAAAGUGAUUCUAGAGGGCCCAGGUGCGGCAUAGGAUGAAGGUCCAUAAGGAAUUUGGGUUUAGGUCAUCUAAAAGCCCAAAGCCAAGAAUAGAAACUCACGAAAAUGGAAACCUCCAAGAAUAGAAACUUCCAACUUUUAGAAACUUUGGUUGCCAAUUCCGGUUUAGGAAAGAUCAACCCAAAAUGGAAACUUUUAGGCUUAGCUUUCCUACAUCAAGUAGGAAACCUCAAAUCUUCAACUCUUCAAUUCCAUCCCAACCUUGUGUAGCAUGUCCUUUUCAAUCCGAGCUCACUUUCUUGCUCCAAAAGCUCCAACUUGCAUCAUUUCAUGUAAUACGUCCUUUAACCUGAAAACACAUGAAAGUAGCUUAAAAGACUACUUUAACGAAGAAAACAUAACAAAAAUGCAUAAGAACUAGCUAACUAAGGCGCAUAAAUAUGCUCCUAUCAAAUUCCCCCACACUUAGCUUUUGCUAGUCCUCGAGCAAAACAAACAAAAGAAAGAAAACAAAACGAAACAAACUAACCAAAACAAAACCUAAACCUUCCAACGUUUGCCUCAGGGAUUUCCAAUGCACAUGACAUGUUAAAGGUUGUUAUCCCCACAAAUUUGAGUCAUCUUUACACAAGCACAUACUUAAUUAAAGCCACUACUCACUAGUUCACAAGUAAUCAAUUAAAACAAUGCUUUGAAUGUAGUAACAUGCCUUAGAAAGUUCCCUCAAUUCCUUACAAGAUAUACACUCUAUUUUCACUCAGAUUUUCUAACUCCACACCCUACACUAGUCAUAUGUGAGAAGAUUGAUGUAAAUAUGGAAACGAAUGCUCACAUAUAUGUAUCACAAAGAACGCAAUUUCUAGAGUUAAGAAGCAUGUUUAGAUAUGAUCUCAUGAAUGGAAUGCUACUACUUAGAUGCGAGAACCAGUGACACCAUAUGCUCAUACCAAAUUCAAACUCCACAAAUUGAAACACAUAACACUCAAGAUAGAAGUUAAGGGUUGUAAUGGGGCUUGGGGUGUUGGUUAACAAGGAAAGGAUAGGGAAAACAAACGUUCUUCAAGCAAUAGUAAGCACAGCAAUGAAAUUGAGACUUAGAAUUCACUUAGAUUGCAGAAAUUAACUUUAAAACACAAGGGGGAGACUUAAACAACUCCUUAGGGUCAAAUUCAUUGUUUUGGACCCUUACUUCAACAAACAAUACUUUGGAACUCUUUUUCUCAACUUUUCAACUUUUUUUUCAUUCUUCUCGUAUUUUUUUUUUCUUCAAUUUUUCUUUUCUUUGCCGUGCCUAUGGCACACAAUUCCUCAUGAAAAACACUUCCCCCACACUUAUUUUCUGCUAACAUAGAUCACAAGGAAUUCAAUUCGAAUCAUGCUUUACUAUGCUUUAAGAACAAGGGUAUGGAUAGUCCUAAUCUAAGGCUAGGUGAGGGUAAUGUGGGUUAACAAAGAAAAGGCUAAACAAGGCUCAACGGGGUUAAACUUAAACAUAUAAUGGAGUAGGGCACACGGCUUUUUGGCUAAGGUGGUGGUCACUACACAACUUCAUCUUGAAUAUGUGUUAUGCAAUUCAAUGACAUGCUUUGAAUGAAAUGGGCAUGAGUUCUAGCAUUUGGAACUAAAUGAUGAAACGCCUUCUAAGUAGUAACCAAGCAAAGAAUAAUGAGAUCAUGCAACGACUUAGAAAACAAAGAAUGCACAGAUUUUAACUCUCCAAAUAAACGUUUAGGCUCAAGUCUCACAAGGUUGUAGCGUUAGUUUGAGUUCCUUCCUUCAAGCAUGUUACAAAAACUGAUUUUUUUCUUUUAUGAUUGCAUGUGAAUUCAUAAGUUAUAACCACAACUAAGCAUACACAAAGAGUAAAUCAAACUUUCAUCCAUGUUAAUCACUCUCUUUAACAGCCAUGUAAUUACAAACCGAAUCCUCAUCAUUGUGUUGGAAGGUACCCUAAGACACAAACAAACACACAAAAACAACUCUUUUUGGGUUUUUAAAACAAAUUUUUCAAAUUUUUAUGUAAUUUUCGGAUUUUUACUUCAAAACACAUUAAAACACAUCAAAACUGCUCAAAAACACUUAAAAACAGCAAGGAACAAGUCUUCAAGUUUAGGGUGAUAAAAUCCCACGAAUUUGCAUCUAAAACACUUAGUUACCCCCCCACACUUAAAUCAAACAUUGUCCUCAAUGUUUCAAGCAUAAAAUCACACUAAAAAAAAAGAAACACACAAACAGCAACUAAAACAACUAAAUAGGCAGAUUCGAAAUAAAUAACAAAGGGAAGAGUUUAGGAACGCAAAUCUGGAAUUGGAGUGAUUCCUUGGUCUUCCUUUGUUGAAUUGCAUGGGUUGCCUCCCAAGUAGCGCUUUCUUUUACGUCUUGCAGCCGGACGAAAAACACAAUCAUGCCCUAUUGGAGCCCACGGCACUCUCAUACAUUGCAUCUUUGAACGGUAAUGGAUAGUGAUGUUCGUUGAUGGGUGCGUUGUGUUGCCUAAGGUUCACGUACAUGCGCCCACCAUCGGGGAUUUGCUUGGGUACCUGCACCAUAGAAGGGAACCACCUCUUAAUUUUAAUGGGAAUUGGAUUUGGACUAGGUGCCUUACCUUGGUGUUGUGAUGAAGUGGCAGCAACAUGAACUGUUUUCCUCAUGGUAUUCUCGGCCACAUGGGGUAUCUUAAGGGCAGUGGCCGUGGGGUCCUCAUGCUCCACUCCAAUUCCCUCAUCUUGCAUGGUUCUUGAAGCAACCUUUGUGUUAGGGGCUGAAUGAUCCGUCCCUAUCUUUUCUAUCGUAUCAAUAACACAACAAGAACGAACAACGUUAGGAGUCUCAAUGGAUUCAGGAAUUUUAAAACAAAUCAUAUCACCACCAAAUGCCAUAGUUACUUCUCCUUUGGCUACAUCAAUCUUGGUUUGAGCCGUUUUCAUGAAAGGCCGUCCAAGGAGAAUGGGCAAUGAAGGAGCAUGGUCCGAUUCAUCCAUUUCGAGGACAUAGAAAUCCGCCGGGAAGACUAAAUGAUUAACCUGCACAAGAACAUCUUCCAAAACUCCCUUUGGAUAGGCGUUAGAUCUAUCAGCCAAUUGUAUUAUUACACCAUCCUGUUUAAGUGCUCCUAGAUUCAUAGAUGCAUAAACAGAAUAUGGCAUAACAUUAAUAGAUGCUCCUAAAUCUAGCAUGGCAGAUUUGAAACGGGUAUUACCAAUGACACAUGGAAUUGUAAAGCUCCCCGGAUCUUUGCAUUUGGGGGGUAGUUUACGUUGCAAGAUGGCGGAGACAUUCUCGCUUACAUGUACCACUUCUUUCUCCCGGGCACGUUUCUUUGUCGCAC